GCGUGAAAUGCAGAUUAAAAAAAACAGGAUCUGCCCGACAUCAGACAGACCCUAUAGUACACACAGCAGUGCGUCCUUUCGCCAAUCCUGGGUAUUAUUUCCAUGAGGCAGGUAUAUUUAGGUAUAACACCUUUUCUGAAAAAUGAAA
rnacentral:ncRNA from 2 species